rnacentral:rRNA from 1 species
AUAAUGGGUCAGCGACUUAUAUUCUGUAGCAAGGUUAACCGAAUAGGGGAGCCGAAGGGAAACCGAGUCUUAACUGGGCGUUAAGUUGCAGGGUAUAGACCCGAAACCCGGUGAUCUAGCCAUGGGCAGGUUGAAGGUUGGGUAACACUAACUGGAGGACCGAACCGACUAAUGUUGAAAAAUUAGCGGAUGACUUGUGGCUGGGGGUGAAAGGCCAAUCAAACCGGGAGAUAGCUGGUUCUCCCCGAAAGCUAUUUAGGUAGCGCCUCGUGAAUUCAUCUCCGGGGGUAGAGCACUGUUUCGGCAAGGGGGUCAUCCCGACUUACCAACCCGAUGCAAACUGCGAAUACCGGAGAAUGUUAUCACGGGAGACACACGGCGGGUGCUAACGUCCGUCGUGAAGAGGGAAACAACCCAGACCGCCAGCUAAGGUCCCAAAGUCAUGGUUAAGUGGGAAACGAUGUGGGAAGGCCCAGACAGCCAGGAUGUUGGCUUAGAAGCAGCCAUCAUUUAAAGAAAGCGUAAUAGCUCACUGGUCGAGUCGGCCUGCGCGGAAGAUGUAACGGGGCUAAACCAUGCACCGAAGCUGCGGCAGCGACGCUUAUGCGUUGUUGGGUAGGGGAGCGUUCUGUAAGCCUGCGAAGGUGUGCUGUGAGGCAUGCUGGAGGUAUCAGAAGUGCGAAUGCUGACAUAAGUAACGAUAAAGCGGGUGAAAAGCCCGCUCGCCGGAAGACCAAGGGUUCCUGUCCAACGUUAAUCGGGGCAGGGUGAGUCGACCCCUAAGGCGAGGCCGAAAGGCGUAGUCGAUGGGAAACAGGUUAAUAUUCCUGUACUUGGUGUUACUGCGAAGGGGGGACGGAGAAGGCUAUGUUGGCCGGGCGACGGUUGUCCCGGUUUAAGCGUGUAGGCUGGUUUUCCAGGCAAAUCCGGAAAAUCAAGGCUGAGGCGUGAUGACGAGGCACUACGGUGCUGAAGCAACAAAUGCCCUGCUUCCAGGAAAAGCCUCUAAGCAUCAGGUAACAUCAAAUCGUACCCCAAACCGACACAGGUGGUCAGGUAGAGAAUACCAAGGCGCUUGAGAGAACUCGGGUGAAGGAACUAGGCAAAAUGGUGCCGUAACUUCGGGAGAAGGCACGC